GACGAACGCUGGCGGCGUGCCUAAUACAUGCAAGUCGAGCGGACAAAGAGGAGCUUGCUCCUCGAUGUUAGCGGCGGACGGGUGAGUAACACGUGGGCAACCUGCCUGUAAGACUGGGAUAACUUCGGGAAACCGGAGCUAAUACCGGAUAAUGCUUUUGAACUCAUGUUCGAAAGCUGAAAGAUGGUUUCGGCUAUCACUUACAGAUGGGCCCGCGGCGCAUUAGCUAGUUGGUGAGGUAACGGCUCACCAAGGCAACGAUACGUAGCCGACCUGAGAGGGUGAUCGGCCACACUGGGACUGUGACACGGCCCAGACUCCUACGGGAGGCAGCAGUAGGGAAUCUUCUGCAAUGGACGAAAGUCUGACGGGGCAACGCCGCGUGAGUGAUGAAGGUUGUCGGAUCGGAAAACUCUGUUGUUAGGGAAGAACAAGUACCGGAGUAACUGCCGGUACCUUGACGGUACCUAACCAGAAAGCCACGGCUAACUACGUGC
rnacentral:rRNA from 1 species